ensembl:snRNA U6 U6 spliceosomal RNA
GUGCUCCCUUUGGCAGCACAUAUACUAAAAUUGGAACAAUACAGAGAAACUUAGCAUGACCCCUGUGCAAGGAUGACAAAAAGGACUGAAAUCUGGAAAUUGGCACU